CGUAAACUUUUAACUACACCUACAUCGCCUGGGAACUACGAGCAAAGCUUAAAACCCAAAGGACUUGACGGUACCCCACAUCCACCUAGAGGAGCCUGUCCUAUAAUCGAUAACCCCCGCUAAACCUCACCAUUUUUAGUUAAUCAGCCUGUAUACCUCCGUCGUCAGCUUACCUCGUGAGCGAUAUAUAGUGAGCUUAAUGUCCACACGUCAAUACGUCAGGUCAAGGUGCAGUAAAUAAAAUGGGAAGAGAUGGGCUACACUCUCUAAUAUAGAAUAUACGAAAGACUAUAUAUGAAACCUAGUCAAAAGGCGGAUUUAGUAGUAAAAAGAGAAAGCUCUUUUUAACACGGCACUGGGGUGUGUACACACCGCCCGUCACCCUCUUCAAUACCAAAAAAUAGUAUAUAACAUAAAUUAGUAAACUAGAAGAGGCAAGUCGUAACAUGGUAAGUAUACCGGAAGGUGUGCUUGGAAA
rnacentral:rRNA from 1 species